GAAGGUCAGAGUCCAAUGAGCAGAUGUGCAAAACCAGCUCCACUUGAUCAAAAAGGUACUUAGAGAUUGACAUGAAAACAUGUAAAAUGUGUUGGAUAAAAGUUUCUCUCGAGGAUUUUCAGAGGCAAGAAAUAAGAGCAGUAAGUAGAAAUUUGGAUUCAAAUUAACUCUGAUAUAUAGACUUAGUAUGAUUCAUUCCUACUGAAUUAGUCUACUCUGACAUGCAAAUACAGCUUAGUAAAUUAGAAAGUUAUGAAAAAGUUGAUUUAUUAUAGGAAUUCACAAUGGAUAAGGUCUUGCUGCUCAUUUAUGGAUGGAUGGAAAGCAUACAAGAGCAAUAAAAGGAAACAGAUACACACCGGUGCUCCAUGAUCUUGUUUUUUUGGACUUCCUUCCAGAACUGAGUGAGUUCCUGUGAUCCAGCAUUUUCCAUUUCUGCAGCCAUGAUCAAAAAUCUGUCUUGUGGAGAGGCCAGGGAACCUGCACAAAACCCAUCAAUAAAACCAUUUAAGUCAACUGUUAUGGUUGAUUUCGUAAAAAGUGGUGAGAGUGGGUCUGGAAUUCCAUGAUUUUUGCUGGUAAUACAACUUUUAAUAAACCAAAGAUAUCAACGAAUUGUUCUGUGAUAUUAAAUGUGAGAAUUAUCUAGAAA